UACGUAGGGACCAAGCGUUGUUCGGAAUUACUGGGCGUAAAGGGCUCGUAGGCGGCCAACUAAGUCAGACGUGAAAUCCCUCGGCUUAACCGGGGAACUGCAUCUGAUACUGGAUGGCUUGAGUUCGGGAGAGGGAUGCGGAAUUCCAGGUGUAGCGGUGAAAUGCGUAGAUAUCUGGAGGAACACCGGUGGCGAAGGCGGCAUCCUGGACCGGCACUGACGCUGAGGAGCGAAAGCCAGGGGAGCAAACGGG
rnacentral:rRNA from 1 species